AUAGACAUGUUCUUGUUAACUUCGAUUUUUGUUUUAGGUUCAUUCUACAAAGCCAACUGUUACACAGAAGAUUAUACACCAAGUCAAGACCACGCAAUCGAACUUAUAAACUUUUUAGAUUUACUAAAUAACAGAGAAGUUGAUAGCAAUCAGUAUGAUACUCAAAAGAAAUCAAGAUAUUUGGAAGAAUCAUCACAAAACAACAACAAAAUAC